rnacentral:rRNA from 1 species
AUUGAACGCUGGCGGCAGGCCUAACACAUGCAAGUCGAGCGGCAGCGGGAAAGUAGCUUGCUACUUUUGCCGGCGAGCGGCGGACGGGUGAGUAAUGCCUGGGGAUCUGCCCAGUCGAGGGGGAUAACUACUGGAAACGGUAGCUAAUACCGCAUACGCCCUACGGGGGAGAGCAGGGGACCUUCGGGCCUUGCGCGAUUGGAUGAACCCAGGUGGGAUUAGCUAGUUGGUGAGGUAAUGGCUCACCAAGGCGACGAUCCCUAGCUGGCCUGAGAGGAUGAUCAGCCACACUGGAACUGAGACACGGUCCAGACUCCUACGGGAGGCAGCAGUGGGGAAUAUUGCACAAUGGGGGAAACCCUGAUGCAGCCAUGCCGCGUGUGUGAAGAAGGCCUUCGGGUUGUAAAGCACUUUCAGCGAGGAGGAAAGGUUGGUAGCUAAUAACUGCCAGCUGUGACGUUACUCGCAGAAGAAGCACCGGCUAACUCCGUGCCAGCCGCCGCGGUAAGAC